AAUAAGAUAAGCUAAAAAAGCUUUUGAGUUCAUACCCCAAAGAUAAAAUAUUUUUCUUAUUA
rnacentral:tRNA from 1 species